UUUUUUUUUUUUUUUUUUUGUCGCCUAGCAGCGAAGAAUUAUACGGCUGUAGAAACUUGCACCAUUUCAAUCAUCAAUAUCUUGGGAAAAUUUGAAAAAAGAAAACAAGGCGAUUAAAAAUUCAUAAGUAGGAUAUAACUAUUAAAAAUUUUUAAAAUGCAUAAUUCAGUAUACAUACGUGCACAUAUAUGGUUUUGAAUAUGCAUAUUCAUAUAUAUAUAUAUAUAUAUAUAUAUAUGCGCACGCGUGCACGUAUGUUCAUCAAAAUGCAUAUUUUUAUUUAUUAAGCUGAGUAACUGUAUAGCAGUGUUAUUGAACAAGGUACACAUUAUUAUGAGGCUGAUCCAGUCAUUUAAUGGUAAAUUUAUUACCUAUUUAAAUGUGCGAAUAAUAGCCCAUUCCCAUUCACACAUUAUCUAUCAAAAGACAAGUUACGCUCUUCUUAUGACUAUUUCAUUUUCCUAUUCCCAAUUUUCAAAAAUUUCCCGUUGUGUUUCAAUUACAGUUCAAGACGCGUCACUCUGAAUCUCUCAUACGAAUUACUGAGUCUAUUAUGUCUGAUAUGAUAUAAUCAUCAGUCAUCACUCGGUUUUCUUGGUUAGCACGUCUUUGAUUCUUUACAGAAUUAUUCGCCGCAAAUGAAGUAUAUAUUCAAACGAAUAUUAGACUAAGAUUGAUUGAUGGUUCUUCAUGUUGUCACAUUAACGCUCCAUAGCUUCAAAUUUCAAGCAUCAUUAUUAUUAAGUUGGUAUGUUCUUCACCAGCAACAGCAAGCUUAUCUGUUAUUGGUGUUUUAAGAUGACAUCUCACUGGAAGUCAAAAUAUAACUAUCAAGCAGUAAAGAAAUUGUGUGUUUUUUUUUUGUUCAAAACAAAAAGUCAAUGGUUGGAAAGGAUCAGCUCAGUGUGUUAUUUGAACACUUCAAACGAGAUUCGGGUUGAACUGGAUCGAUUUUCUAAUUUAUCUAAUUUUGACAUGGUUCAGCACUACUUUUCCACGCUCCACAUUCAAGUGGAGAGGUGAAAAAAGAACGGCAAGGUUAGGAGAGACAACGAAAAAGAGCACCGGGGAGUUGAAACUUUUAAGUAAAAUUAUACAAACAUUAAUACAUAAUGGCACUCAGUUAAGAGGCCAACGGUCUUCCAUUCUUAAUUACUACUAUUUGAUUGAGCGCAUUUUCUUUCGUGGGAUUAAUUACUUGAGGUAUGACAGGUUUUUUAGUUCAUUUUAUUCCUUUACUUCAAUUUUGGAUAUUUUAAUUAUUCUCUAAAGUAUGAAAUCCGUCCUGUUUUAAUUCUUGAACUUUGAGCAUCGUUUACUUAUCAUUCUGUUAGUCUUGACAAUUUUAUGAGAUUGGUUUCAUACUUUAAGGAAUAAAAUAUUCAAGUGAAGUUUACGAACUAAACUGUGAUAGAUUCCAUAUGUAACCUACAAGUACAAAGACCAAAGUGAGAGACUGCAUCUUUAUUAUUAGUUUAAGCAGCCAAAGUAGAAUUUGCCCAAAUUUCUGACCUAAGUUGUUGACAUAGUAGUGUGUUUUGAUCUGCACGCUUUGAUCACAUAAAACAAGUUUUAGCCCAAAAGAUAGACCGUCAAUAAUUGCAAUUCGAAAAAUUUAAACCCGUAAAGACAAAUAAUUUAUGUUAGUCCACCAUGAAGGAGUGGUUUGCAGAAGUGCUUGUGUUGGACCAUUGGUUGGAUAAUUCAAUUCCAGGGCUUAACAUGUUAUUUCAUGGCCAUUUGGCUAGGUGAAUUGUUAUAUAUAAGAUAAGAUGAACUAUAUAUAUAUGAUAUAUAUAUGAGCCAUUGAACACGAUCCUCACUUAACCCAUGUUUAAAAAUUCAAUUCAUUACUUAAAUUUAAUGAAUUCAGACCUUAACAUAUUCAUACGCGUUUAAUAACAAAAAAUUGAACAUCAUUAAGUGACGCUGAAUUUUCUAGAUAAAAUUUGCUCCUAAAAUUAAGUGAUAAAUUAUUUACUUAUCACUAAAUAUAAUAUAAACUUAAAUAUAUUAGAUUUAAUACUUAAUAAUUUAAUAAUUUAAUGAAUUCAGACUUCAAGAUUUCAGAUUUCAGACUUCAAUUUUAUCAAAGGCACCUUGACUUUGGAGGCAGACACAAUUCAAACAUACCUAUUGCUUUUGUUCUAGCAGAAAAUAGAAUGUAUAUUAUUCCAACCGAAUCCUCUAAACUUCACAUGCAUCAUGUAAUGAUGAUUUAUUUGCAUCAAAGUUUGGGAUUAACGUGAUGUCACAAUUAAUCAUUAGUUAGACCACGAUGUUGACUAUCCCCAUUAACGAAAUUCGUGAGGUAACAUGUGCAAUGUUCGCCGCGCCACAGGCCAAACCAAGGAAAAAAAAAAAAAAACACUCACAUACUUAAUUCCAAUCUUUUCAAACUCGAACGUGUUCACAAACCGAAUUCUUAAAGAUAUGUAACUUCGGACUUUUCUUCGUUCUUCUUAUUAUCACACCAAAUUUCUCCGUCGUGGUUAUCGUUCUGGAAAGCCUUUCAUUUUUCAAAGAAUGCGGAGUCUGCGGGAAAAAAAAAAGUCUCUUAUGUAGUGGAGGUGGUGAUGAUGAUUACGGGAAAUCAGAACCUUGUUUCCUAGGAUUGGUCCCAGGAACCUAAAUAAUGAAGUUGGGAAGCAUUAUCUUACGUACUAACGUAUAAUUGAGACUUUAACAACAGCUAUAAGUUAACAACGUAUCCGUCCAGUUGAUUAGCUGAGAGCUCUUAGAAUUCUCUCUAUUGUCAGUUUAGAAUUCGAAUUUUAGUUUUUUAAGUUUACAUUGGAAAUCUAUGUUUAAUAGUUGAGGUUAGGAAUCACUGAAAUUGGUCUAGUAAUUCGGAAAAAACUCUUCAGGAUUUGAAUUCUAGUUUUUAGGUUCAGAAUUCGAAACCUAAACUUAAUAGUUGAGAUUAGGAAGGGUGAGAGGUAAACAAACAGAAAAAAAAAAACGUAUCACUUGUCGUGGCCUGUUAGGACCCAAAGAUUGUGAUCAAAACAUUGCUACUUGACAGUAUACCAAAAUUUGAUUGUUGGCUAAAAGACAACGAGUAAAAAUUUUCUAAAAUAAAACCGAGAGACAAUUCAGAUAAUUUAUUUAGAUGAGUUGGAGUAGUUCAAUAUCAACAGGUUUUAAUUGUUGAAUUUUGCUAAAUGAGACGUUCUCUUUUUAUAUUUAAAAAAAAAAAAAAAAAAAAAGCUGGUUAUAACUGGCACAUGUUUGCAGAAAAAAAUAUGCUUUAUUGAUUCUUACCAAGUCAAUUGAAAUUGUUACAAUAAAAUGUGCUUUAGUUCCCAAAAUCCCGCAAACUAGUAAUUUCCCUGCUCGUGGAUGAAAAUCUUUGAUUGAAACUUGUAAAUAUGAAUAGUAGCCUGGAGAGGGAUAAAACUUAAAUAAGACAAUAACCACAAUAAUCAAAUGAAGCACAAAUAAAGCAGCCUAUCUCUCCCUCUCUCUCUCCAAAAUUAGCUCAAUUUGCCUAUAUAUCAUUGUUCAUAAUUCUUUUCUUUUUUUUUUGAUUAAAUCUUAUAUACACUGACAAUGUAUACACUAUUAUCAUUGGAUUUAUGACACGUGUGCCAAAGUUAAAUUUUAAAUUUAAAUUUUAUAUAGUUAUCGUUCAUCCAAUGCUGACGGUGUAUACACUGUCAGUGUAAGAAAAAUUAACCUUUUUUUUUAUACUUCCAAUCUUGAAUAUAACAAUUAUUUUAGAAAAAAAAAAGCUUACAUUGAAAGAACAGGUCUACAAUUCCUAUACAAAUUAUUUCUCCCAAUCUUAUUUUAUACACAUAAUGCAAAACAGACAACCCACAUGUGUUACGGGAUUUUUGGACUGUGUGCUUAAUGUCCAAAGCUCGAAAGGAAUCUCCAAAUGAUCACUGAAGUCUUUCUGUCUAAAUCUGUAUUCUACAUUUAAUCGUCCUCAUCUUGUAUGUUGCGUAAAGAAAAAUAUCACUCUGCCUAAAAAAUAUCUAAUCAUCCCUAUAAACGACAAAUUUGCUUUCCUGGGAUUAUUUCACGAUCAAAUCUGAGUGCAUCUUUCUUGCGAUUGCUUCAAUUGCAGAGAUCAUCCAUAUUCCACAAGCAAUAUCCCAGAUCAUCGUCACUCAGCCAAUUGUUUUGUGCACAGUAGUUAUCACCAGCUGGCCCUGUAGAGCCGCCCAUCGCUGUAACAGGUGCUGCUGAGCUCAAGUUUUCCAUAUCUUGAUAACUAGUGCUGUCAACAUUGUAACAUUCAUUUUGAGAAUGACCAUAGGAAUUGUUGGGAGCCAUGUCAUAAAAGGGAUUUUCUAUGUAUUCGGAAAAUUGAGGGACCGGAGAGAUAUUCGUGGAUUCUGAUGAAGACAUGCUUGAUGGGCUGCUGCUAAUCAUGUUUCUCUGAUGACUAUCCGGGAAACUGUAUGGUACCUGUUGCGGUUGUUUUGCUGCCAUUGAAUUGCUAACUGCUGCCUGAAUUUCAGCUAAAUUGUCAUGUUCUGAUGAGUCCCAAUAUGCAAUAUUUCCUUGUACCUUUUGAAGCAACCGAGGAAUCCAGACACGGCGAACUAGUUCUUGAAACUCACUGCUGUUGGAGUCUAUCUUCAGAUGGCGGGCCUGCUUUUGUACUCUUGUUCUCCAGUAGUUCUUGAUUUCAUUAUCUGUUCUUCCCGGAAGAUGUUGUGCAAUCUUUGACCACCUUCAUUAUCAUUUAUGAGAAACAAAUUAGCUUCAUCGGCGUCCAAAUUCAGUAUUAGGAAGCAAAUUGAAUUUGAAUCGUGCCCUUUUAAUUUUCUUCACAUCCGAGUACAACUUCAACUUCAGGAUCCAAAAUCAUAUGGGACUGGACAAGUACGAAUGCAGAAGGUGAAACAUGCAAUGGUAGGGAUGAGGAUGCAAAUUCGGGCCCAAAUCCGCGCAAAUUUCAUCUAAACAGACUUAAAAGUGUGCAUUUGAGCGCAAAAAGCCAAUUACCAAAUGAAUACCUGUUGCCCCACUUGGAAUGAAGCUCAAGAAUCAAGAGCUGUUCCUCUGGACUAAGAUUUCCUCGUUUAACAUCCGGUUUAAGAUAGUUGAGCCAUCUCAAUCUACAACUCUUGCCAGUUCUAUUCAAUCCUAUGUGUACACAACACGAAAUUUCAGCAAAACUGUACAGUUGAAACUUUGGAUGAAAAGAAACAUUGAUUUUGUGCUCAGCUUUCGUGGCAACGAACAUAUGUGCUUACCUGAACGUUUCGCUAGCAAGUUCCAUCGGCCUUCACCAUGAGCAGCAAUGUAAUGAACAAGAAGAGAAUCUUCUUCAACAGUCCAGGGACCUCUCCUGAGCUCACCACCUGCGGCAUCAUCAUCACUACAACUGCUUGUAGUUGUACUCUUAGACAGGGAACACAUGGCUGGCUUCUAUUUUGAGUAGGGUACCGAGAAUUUUGAGGAAUUUCAAGACAAACUGAUAAUUGGGCUUACGAGUCUAAGCUUUGAAGGCGAAGCACUGACGCAACAGCAGCAAAUCCAUGAUUUAUAAGGUACGAGGUCUUAGUACUCUAACCCACUGUUCACAUGUUACUUUUCAAAGGAAGUAGCCGCGAAAGCAGACUUUAUAAUGCACAGCUUCUUUUCUUUUCCCUAUUCUGUUUUUUUUUGGUCAAUGUAGCAUAGGAUUUCUAUUGGAAUUUUUACUCUCCUUUAGAAUUUCAACCAGUCAAAACAUAAGAAAUCACUGGAAUAUUGUACCUAUAACAUCGCCCACAAGCAGAAUUCCAGGUUAAUUUUUCUUUUAUUCUUCUACAUCGAGAAAAUUAAGGACUGAAAUAGAGGUGGCCAUGGUUUAGGUUUAAACCAAAAUCGGACCGAAAUUAGCUCGAAGGUUUGUUGAAUUAGGUUUUGGAAACCGAAACCGAAACCGAAAUCAUAACCAUGACUAAAGGUUCAAGUUUAGAUUCACUAAAAUUUUGAACCAGAACCGGCGGUUUAGAAUCUGUUCAAAUCGUCUAAAAAAAAUAUUUACUACUUAAACCUGUUUGUCUUGUUUAGAGUCCAAUAUCAAUAGUUAGCACCUAAUACCAGUAAUUAAAGUCCUAAUCUAAUAAUCUACUGUCCCAUUCUUUUAGUAAAUCUAUAAUCAAUGAUUAAUCUAAAUCUAAAACCAAUCUAAUCUAAUCAAUAAUGCGAUAUUUUUCAAAAAAUUUACACAUUUUUUCUUUUUCAUCGCACAUGAUAAUGCAAUAAACACACACACACAUAUAUAUAUAUAUAUAUAUAUAGGAGUUCAAAUAUCGCAACCGUAACCGUCCCUCUAUGGGCUAAUUCAAGUUCUACCUUUCUAAAGAAUCGAAACCCUUGGUUUUUAAAUUGGAACCAACGGUUUUGGAAUCGUGACCAUGUCUAGAUUGAAAUAUGAAAAUAGUUGUGCUUUUAGUAGAGAUCCACCAUAUGCCAAUAUAGAGUAGUACAAUUCCUUUUCUUUUUUUUUUUUUGCUUUUUAGUAUAAUUGAAAAGGUCUCGAACUCGAGAUUUUUCACUUACACUUCCUUCUUCCCAUACCACCUAACCCUUUCCUCCCCCUAAUAUAAUAUGUGUCUGUGUAUGUUUUUUUUUUUUUAAAUAAUGUGUUUUGAAUAUAAUUUUCAAACAUUUUUUUUAUUUUAAUUCUAGCAAAACUUUAUAUUUUACAAUAUGAAGAUACCUAAUAUUUUCCCCUAUGUAGUGAAGUUGAGAACUAAAGCUUUACAUGCACUUUUAAUGGAAUACAAUAAUCUUUUAGAGGCAAUUAAAAUCCCAGCAUGCCACCUUAAAGAAAAUCUCAAUAUGCCAUCCCCGUAAGUAACACAGAGUAUCAAUAUCAAGGAACAAAAGUAGGGUCGAUUAAGGUGGCCGGAUCAGGACUUUUACCUUGUAAAGUAAAUGAUCAAAAUAGCUUUUGGUCUUCUUCAAUAUGGUAAAGUCGAGCUCAAACCAUUUUCUUGAAAAGAAAAUAGGAGGAAUAGGGUGAUUUUGCGAAAUUGUUAAAUCAGCUUAGAUACCACGAGGCUUGGGGUUCCUUUUUAAUUACAUCAUAGGUCUACUAAAAAAUAAUUCUCUAGUCCUAAAGUUCCUACAUGGAAAAAAAGAUAAUACCCACCGUUAUCAAUGAAGAGCUAGAUCAUCAAAGAAAAGGCAGUUUUGACAAAGAAAUUGAAGGCAACACAGCAUUCUUGACAAUGACAAUUACAAAACCUUGAAUCGAUCAUUAGAAGGAAUUAGUUUUUAAAAACUUCGCGGUUUGUCAUUUCUAGUUUCUUCCAAUUAUAAAAAACGUACUUGACUAACCAAGAUGAAACCCUGAAUCAAAACCAAAACGUGGGUUAAUUUAUGUCCGUCUAACUGAUAGGGGCGGCAACCAUAUUUCUAGGCAUCUAGCUUUUGCUUGGAAUCUUAAAACACAGUUCCCUUUUCCAAUUGCAUGGCUGUCAUCUGAUUUUCUGUCAAUUUUGCUUAAGAGUUGUAGUUUUCUUUUUCAAGCAGAAGUGGUACGUUUUUUAAGUAUUUGGUACUUGACUUCUGGUUUCUCCAGAAUACAUCCAUUUUGGAAACACGCGAGGAGUAGGACAAUUGUAAGAGGCUGCUAAUGCUUAAUGCAGCUAAAUUUGACUUUUAUAAUCUACAUCUUGCCUCCAAUGCAUGUUUCGGGUUGAUGACUCCUUGAAUAUCAGGAAUCCCUUGGAUGCGAUGCUCAUGAAGGUUCUUGCAUUCUCUUAUUCUCUGCUGAUAUGCUCUUGCCAUAAUAAUAAUAAUAUGCAGCCUUCUUUUAAUGGAAGCCAAUUGUUUUAGUGACGGUAUUAUUUCUGCCGUAAAUGCAAUUACUACUAGUAUUUCACGUUGAGAGCCCGAGUACAGGUCACAUACUAUUCGCAGAAGGGCUGCAAUUCGUCAAGAUUCAGGGCAAAUAGAAUAUAAACAUCUGACGACAAUCCUAAAGGAAUAUAUAUAAAGAAUGAGCUGAUUCUAUGCUUCUAGAUGCCAUUCAAUGCUUCAUACAAAGCUACUAUAUCCAGCGCAGUACAACUUUGGAGUCUCCUGAUUCUAGUCAAGGUUAAGUGUAUAUAGCUUGGACGGCGUUAACUUACUAACUUAAAAACCAAAAAAAAAAAAAAAAAAAAAAACAAUUAGGAACAUGCUAGUGCAAAGCAAUCAAAUUCUCACGUUUUUUUCUAGAAAUUUUCAAUAAGAAAAAAAAAAAAAGAAUUCCUCAUGUUUCCUCGAUCUUACUUGAGAGUCAGCGAUUGGAAUUAUUCGUUUGGACUGAUGGAAGCGGGUCGUGGUUCUCUUCAUUGCAUUUCUAUUUUUAAUUUCGUACCACUUUUUACUUAUAAUUUAUUUUUGGUAAGACAACAUGCUCCCCCCCUUCACAACUCAGGAAGAAGAAUAAUUGGACUUUCGUAGCAGUUAGCACAACAUUCUUUUUUUGUUUUUUGUUUUUGCUUUUUUUAAUUGAGGAGGAGAACUUAUCAAUUAUCAUCAUCAUAGUGGUACUUGUGACUUCCACACCUAGCCAAAAAAAUUAUUUUUUAACUGUAAAUCAAAUUUAACAACUAGUUUGGCAGUCAAUAUUUGAUGAGAAAAGAAAAAAAAAGUGAGAGAAAUGGAACAUUUCAUCAUUUAGCCAGAUUUUUCAAGAUUAAAAAAAAAAAAAGGGCUUGAUUUGGACGAGUUGAUUUUAACAUUAUUAUAAUUUUAAAAGCUUUUUCCGCCCAUUUAUGGACUGAUUUGGACACAAAAUUGGAGAAAAUUUUUUCAAAUACUAAUAAUGCCUUCCUUAGAUGGCCACUAAACAAAAUUUCAAUAGUGUAUGAAACGUUUCCAAAUGUUGUCUUGUGAUUUUGGUUUGGUGUCGAAGUGCAACUCUGAUCUUCCAGAAGUUUGGACUCUUUUUUUCCUUCUUUAAUUGAUUUUCUACGUCAUUUGUAUCCCUUCUUUUUUUAUUCGCAUUUCUAAGUUAUUUUUCUCUCACCUUGUACGGUACAACUAAAUAUCUUUUUUUUUUUUUUGAUAAGGGUUAAAAUCGUAAUCUUAGCCGCUGGAAACAUUUACUUCAUACAUAGUAGAGAGACUCCGCCAAUCAUUUCAAACAAUCAUGAAAUAUGACUAGGAAUGUUGAAGAUUUGAUUAAUUAGUAGCUAGGAAGAAAGGAUGGCAUGGCAUGGAGUCUCAAGUCAGAAGUUGUACAAAGACCACAAGAAGACCACGCAAUCCAUGGAUGAAGAUUAGCAAUUUCUUUCUUUCUUUCUUUCUUUUCUUCUAACACCAAUGGGAUGAAGAUAAUGAAGUUUAAGGAUGAGAAUCAAGAUAAUCAAUCAUGCGCGAUCAAUGGCGCAAUCGUGAUUUGUAUUACUUGAGAACUAAAUGAAAUCAAUGACAAAAUACUGCACUGUUUCCUUAUAGUGACUGUGUCAUCACAAGAAAAAUAAGUUGUAUACGGCAAGAAUUUGUUAAUUCUGAGAUUAUCUUUGAUGCAGAUGGCCAAAUUCUGACAUCACAAGAAUGUGUCAUGAUAAUGACAAUAAUUGAACAAAAAAAAUUCCAUCCACUGCAAACACCUCAUUAAUGCAUUACUCGAAGGAAAGGGAACCCUACUGAUUAAGCUCCUGAGUCCUUUUGACGGAGAAAUUGACAUUGAUGUAAACCAUUAAUAAUGUUUUCCAAGAUAUUCAUCAAAUUUCCAUUUCUUUAUCCAACCCAUCCCUCAGAUGUCUCUCUCUUUAGGAUGCUACUGCAGAUGAGUACCUAUUGGAUUUACACUUGCUUCGUAAAUAGACUUGGGAUUAUUCUCUUUCAAAUUAGCCUUCCCAGUGAGACUCCAUCUUGAUCAGCUUAUUGGACGGGGUAUAUGACUAAAGUUGUAUGGGACGAGGUAUAAACUGGCAAUGCAGCAAGGGUUGUCUUUAGCAGCAAAUCUUGAUCAGCCAAAAUAGCAAAAUGUUUUCUUGCACCCUCUGGUUCUGUGCAUCCUCUCCUUAUCAAACAGUAAGCAUCACUCUGCAUCUACACUAAAGUUGAAUCUCUUUCUGCUAAAAAUUCAAGUUCAGAGUUAAGACAUCUACUUUUAUGCACCAUUGAACUUACUCUAAAGGGCUUUACUUGAUGUCUUGCUGGAAACUUAUUGUUCAACACAUUUAAAUCUGCAUUGCUGUCAAGACUUGUUUAAAUUCGUAAUUUGUCCUUCAUAUUAUGAUGCAGUUCUAGUCCCUACUGGACAAGACAUUUGUUACUAGCAUAGCUGAUGAUUCUUAUCUCGAAAUUUGCAUUGAUCUUUUUCAACUUCAAAAUGCCAACUACGGAAUGAAGUAAUGAUCCAUGCAUGGAACAUUAUAUGCUGUUUCUCAAUCUUUUUAAGAUAUCAGCGUGAAUGCAUAAGUUUCUUAAUUGAACAGACUAAAGUACGCAAGUGAGGUUCUUCUUUUCUCAUCUGUCAUCUACAUCUGCCAUUUAUGUUCUAAUUCAUGUGGAUUGAUUCAACAAGGUUGCAAAUUAAAACAUACAGGGAACUGCCUAGGAAAAAUAAGCAAGUGAACAUCUAUACGAAAUAUUUGAGAGCUUGAACAAGAGAAGCGAGGAACUGAUAUACCUGGCAUUAAAUGAAACUGCUAUACCAUACAUGAUGGAGAGAACUCAUACCGCCAAGGGCAAAACAGCUCAAUGGAGAACGGAGAUACCUUGUCAAGGCUCUAAGCGUGUUACACAUUUUAUUAUCACAAAAUAGUUGUCAUCAGCGGAAAAUGUGUACAGAACAUGGAUAUGCUUAUACUUACAAACUCAAAUUAUUAAGAAAAAGCCAGAACAACAAAGUCAUAGCAAUUUUGGCACCCAUGCCUGCUCCUGCAUUACUUAGCCAGUAACGAAUCAUCGAGCUGGGACCUUUAUCCAACCAUUAGCAAAAGCAAUGGCCAAGAUUACAAAGGGUGUCGACAUACCAAAUAUGAUAAUGUAAGGUAGAGGCGUCUUCAUGGGAUUCUCCCCUUCCCUU
rnacentral:lncRNA from 1 species